rnacentral:rRNA from 1 species
AUUAAACGCUGGCGGCAUGCCUUACACAUGCAAGUCGAACGGCAGCGGGGACUUCGGUCCGCCGGCGAGUGGCGAACGGGUGAGUAAUGUAUCGGAACGUACCAUUCAGUGGGGGAUAACUAUCCGAAAGGAUAGCUAAUACCGCAUAUUCUGUGAGCAGGAAAGCAGGGGAUCGCAAGACCUUGCGCUGAUUGAGCGGCCGAUAUCAGAUUAGCUAGUUGGUGAGGUAACGGCUCACCAAGGCUACGAUCCGUAGCGGGUCUGAGAGGAUGAUCCGCCACACUGGGACUGAGACACGGCCCAGACUCCUACGGGAGGCAGCAGUGGGGAAUUUUGGACAAUGGGCGCAAGCCUGAUCCAGCCAUGCCGCGUGAGUGAAGAAGGCCUUCGGGUUGUAAAGCUCUUUCGGCCGGGAAGAAAUCGCAUCAGCUAAUACCUGGUGUGGAUGACGGUACCGGAAUAAGAAGCACCGGCUAACUACGUGCCAGCAGCCGCCGUAA